rnacentral:rRNA from 1 species
UGGGGAAUAUUGGACAAUGGGCGCAAGCCUGAUCCAGCCAUGCCGCGUGUGUGAAGAAGGCCUUUUGGUUGUAAAGCACUUUAAGCGAGGAGGAGGCUACUUGGAUUAAUACUCUAAGAUAGUGGACGUUACUCGCAGAAUAAGCACCGGCUAACUCUGUGCCAGCAGCCGCGGUAAUACAGAGGGUGCGAGCGUUAAUCGGAUUUACUGGGCGUAAAGCGUGCGUAGGCGGCUUCUUAAGUCGGAUGUGAAAUCCCUGAGCUUAACUUAGGAAUUGCAGUCGAUACUGGGAAGCUAGAGUAUGGGAGAGGAUGGUAGAAUACCAGGUGUAGCGGUGAAAUGCGUAGAGAUCUGGAGGAAUACCGAUGGCGAAGGCAGCCAUCUGGCCUAAUACUGACGCUGAGGUACGAAAGCAUGGGGAGCAAACAGG